AUAUUAGCGCCAUCUAGCUGAGCGUACCCCAAAGGUGUAACGCCAUCUAGGCCACCGUACCUUUUUCUGUAUGGUACUGAGGUACGUUUUUUUCUUAGACUUUAUCUGUCUAUACGGAGUUAUUGUAGAGCUGAUCGAUCGUUUACGCGCGCUCUCGGUCCGAGUCAGUCGGUUCUAGUUCGGUUGCGGCCGGAUCACACGGAUCGCUUUGCUGUCAUUGUCACUGUGUACUAAAGAGCAGAAUCAUUUGGGAAUAAUUAGGUCUUGGAGGAAUCUUGUCUUUUGUACUAUUAGUACAUUUACUACGCAAGCCUAUUGGCAUAGGACUUACGUGGUUAUAGCGGCACGUCAACGCUCGUAGAUUGAUUUUGCGCUGAACCUAGCGCGAGUUAUUUGACGUCAUUGGCUGUCAAAGGGUUAAAAAUAAGUAUAGGAGUAAAGUAACAUCGUCAUCAAAUUUAACUAACCAACAGGAUCUUAUCGCAACGAUAUAAAGUCCAUUAUUGGUUAGUUCAGUGAAUUUUGCUUAGGAAAGAGUUAUAUAUUUUUGUGAGACCAGAAAGAAACGCAAAGAUGGAAUUUUGAGUGUCUAAAAAUUAUUGUUGACCCUAAAAAAUGCGCAAAUUAUGACAGCUACAUAAAAUGGCGCUGAAUUGCACCAUACAUUUUGUGAUACCUAACUAAAUUGUUAAACAUAAUGACAGUUACAGUACCGGUCAAAAAUUUAAGUUCACUCCUUGUUUUCAGGUGAACUCAAACUUUUGACCGGUACUGUAGGUUGCCCCAAUUUAUCUUAUUGAUCAAUUUGAUCAUUCAUUUUAUUAUAGUGUAUAUUUGCACUAAAUGAAGAUUAUUGGCUAUACCUCUCGCAGGACAUAAUAGUUCUUUUGACAGUUCAUUUUGUAUAAGUUGUAUCGCAAAAUGUUCGUAGACAAUUUUGGAAUUUUAAGGAACUGCCGUAGGUAAAAUUCAACGCGAAAGGUGUGGUCAAUAAAAUGCGUAAAAAAAGUCUUGAUUUAAUUUUAAAUAUCUCUGAGACACUCAAAAUAAAUUGUUAUUGUUUGACUAUGAAAUUCUAUGUAGCGAUGUUUGUAUCGAUUUUUGUAUCUAAAACGGCGCAUUUACUAAUGUAAUAAAAUAAUUUUCUUUUUUUUUUCAAGUUUCCUGCCAAUAAUAAUUAUGCAAUAAGCAAAAAUAUAUAUUUUACGCCCCUGAGAAUGACUGAAAAGUACAAUAAGUGAUACGUAUCUCUGCUUUAAUCUAGCAAAGAAGACUUCUCAUUCUCACAAGAAAUUGAUUAGUAAAGUUUAGACGAUACGCACUUAGAAUUUGGUUCAUUGACCUGUCUAUUCCUACCUCAAUCGCACGUUUAUUGCUGUCCCGUUCACACAGAAAUAUAUAUAUGGUGUGAUAGAAGUGCGGGUCAAUAUAUCGAAUUAUUCGUGCAUAGCGUCCUCACUUUAGUUCCUAAUUUAUAACAUUAUAAUUAUUAUGUAUAUCUUUAGUCAUUCUUAACAACCAGCGUAUGCACAACGUAUGUAUACAUAUUUUACUAUUUUGAUUUACAUUUACAAAAUCGAUGUUUUGUGCGGCACGCUAGCUAAACAACUAAAUGAUAAAUCAAUUUAUACAUAUAAAUUAAUCCUUAAAUGCCCAACCUUGACAAAAAUGUAUUCAAAUUUGAAUUUUGGCAUGCUGCCAACAGAGUCAAAAAUGCUUGAUGCAUAUAAACAUCACUAUGCAUUUAAGGGUUAAGGUAAAAGUGAUGAUGUGCAUACCUAUUGGCAGAACAAAGAAUAUUCUUUGACAUACAAUUAGAAAGCUAGAAAAACAAAGAUCACCUACUAUUAGAUUUGGGAACGUUAUUUAAAUUGUAUAAAUUAUAAGUUGGUCAAUAUAUCAAUUGUUUAACCCUUUGAAUGCUACGACUAUACAGCGCGUAAUUGUGAACCUUGUUGAAAAGUACGAAGGUCGAUAUUGGGCUAUAGCCGCGCGCGUAAGUGGAUCGUCAGAGCGUCAGCGCGUCUGCUCGUCUGGCAGUUAACGGGUUAAAAAAAAGGUUGUUUAGCUCAGCGAGCUGCGUAUUAAAAUAAAUGUGGGAUGUUAUACAUGUAUCUACAGAAUGCUCAGUAAAGUGUAAAUAAAAUUAA
rnacentral:lncRNA from 1 species